rnacentral:lncRNA from 1 species
CAGUCCUGUGACUCCUCACAAGGACUACCCUAGCCAAGGUUUUGCUAAAUUGAAACAUGACUGUACACAGCUCCUAAACUGGAGUGGUCAAUCCCAUCUUGACACAUGCACCGACAAGUCAAGUACUUGACUACACCCAGCAGCCUUUCGUCACUGAAUUAAAAAUUCAGGUAGUCUAGUGCCUAAGUGCAGUGAGUUGCUUGCAAGUCACCGUGGCGGUCUCAGGUCAGAGGGAUAUUUAUACCCAUAUUCCAU